rnacentral:rRNA from 1 species
AGCAGCCGCGGUAAUUCCAGCUCCAAUAGCGUAUAUUAAAGUUGUUGCAGUUAAAAAGCUCGUAGUUGAAUUUCGGGGUUAGUAGGUUGGUCAUGCCUCUGGUAUGUACUGGUCUCACUGAUUCCUCCUUCCUGAUGAAUCUUAAUGCCAUUAAUUUGGUGUUUUGGGGAAUUUGGACUGUUACUUUGAAAAAUUAGAGUGUUUAAAGCAAGCUAACGCUUGAAUACAUUAGCAUGGAAUAAUGAAAUAGGACGUUCGAUCCUAUUUUGUUGGUUUCUAGGAUUGACGUAAUGAUUAAUAGGGAUAGUUGGGGGCAUUAGUAUUCAAUUGUCAGAGGUGAAAUUCUUGGAUUUAUUGAAGACUAACUACUGCGAAAGCAUUUGCCAAGGAUGUUUUCAUUAAUCAAGAACGAAAGUUAGGGGAUCGAAGACGAUCAGAUACCGUCGUAGU